rnacentral:rRNA from 1 species
CAUUAUCAGCGAAACUGCGAAUGGCUCAUUAUAUAAGUUAUCGUUUAUUUGAUAGUACCUUACUACUUGGAUAACCGUGGUAAUUCUAGAGCUAAUACAUGCUAAAAAUCCCGACUUCGGAAGGGAUGUAUUUAUUAGAUUAAAAACCAAUGCCCUUCGGGGCUCACUGGUGAUUCAUGAUAACUCCUCGAAUCGCAUGGCCUUGUGCCGGCGAUGGUUCAUUCAAAUUUCUUCCCUAUCAACUUUCGAUGUUUGGGUAUUGGCCAAACAUGGUUGCAACGGGUAACGGAGGGUUAGGGCUCGACCCCGGAGAAGGAGCCUGAGAAACGGCUACUACAUCCAAGGAAGGCAGCAGGCGCGCAAAUUACCCAAUCCCGACACGGGGAGGUAGUGACAAUAAAUACUGAUACAGGGCUCUUUUGGGUCUUGUAAUUGGAAUGAGUACAAUUUAAAUCCCUUAACGAGGAACAAUUGGAGGGCAAGUCUGGUGCCAGCAGCCGCGGUAAUUCCAGCUCCAAUAGCGUAUAUUAAAGUUGUUGUGGUUAAAAAGCUCGUAGUUGAACCUUGGGCCUGGCUGGCCGGUCCGCCUCACCGCGUGUACUGGUCCGGCCGGGCCUUUCCCUCUGUGGAACCCCAUGCCCUUCACUGGGUGUGGCGGGGAAACAGGACUUUUACUGUGAAAAAAUUAGAGUGCUCCAGGCAGGCCUAUGCUCGAAUACAUUAGCAUGGAAUAAUAGAAUAGGACGUGUGGUUCUAUUUUGUUGGUUUCUAGGACCGCCGUAAUGAUUAAUAGGGACAGUCGGGGGCAUCAGUAUUCAAUUGUCAGAGGUGAAAUUCUUGGAUUUAUUGAAGACUAACUACUGCGAAAGCAUUUGCCAAGGAUGUUUUCAUUAAUCAGGAACGAAAGUUAGGGGAUCGAAGACGAUCAGAUACCGUCGUAGUCUUAACCAUAAACUAUGCCGACUAGGGAUCGGACGGUGUUAUUUUUUGACCCGUUCGGCACCUUACGAGAAAUCCAAAGUGCCU